rnacentral:rRNA from 1 species
GUACCUACGGGGGGCAGCAGUAGGGAAUUUUCGUCAAUGGGCGCAAGCCUGAACGAGCAAUGCCGCGUGAACGAGGAAGGUCUUCGGAUCGUAAAGUUCUGUUGAAGGGGAAAAAGAGCGGAGAGAGGAAAUGAACUCCGAUUGAUAUUACCCUUCGAGGAAGUCACGGCUAACUACGUGCCAGCAGCCGCGGUAAUACGUAGGGAGCGAGCGUUGUCCGGAUUUCCUGGGUGUAAAGGGUGCGUAGGCGGCCCUGCAAGUCAGAAGUGAAAUCCCUGGGCUUAACCCGUAACCUGAUUUUGAAA